ensembl:lncRNA
AUGAAAUACUCAUUCACAACCGUGCUCCUCUGUGACAGCGUACAUGCACACACGCGCUGUCACACAUACAGUCUGUCCUCGGUAAGUAUGUUGCGGGCUGUGCAGCAAUCCAUCUGCUGCUACCUCUCUGCCUGUCUCUAUCCCCUCGCUGCCCUCUCCCUCCCUUUCCCCUUCCUCUCUGUCCCAUUCAAUCAUUCUCUCAGCUCCCUGGUGUCAUUCGUUCCCCUCCUGCCGACCAAUCACAGCCCCGCUUCCUUAUUCAGCACAGCCCCUCCUCUACACCCCCCUCCUCGCCACCAACACCGUCCCUCGUGUGUUGACGAUGCAGUUUGCCCCAGAGGCUCAUGGGAUGUUCAGGCACACGGUAAGAAGAAGAAGCAUCAUCAUCAGAAAGGACACAUCCACAUCAAAUGUAACGAGGUUCCCCCUGCUCAACAAACUCCACAUAUGAGUGAAACCUGUAGAACUGCAACCAGCUGGAGGGAUUUCCACUUUCCACAGAUCGGGCUGAAUUUAUAA